rnacentral:rRNA from 1 species
UACAGAGGGUGCAAGCGUUAAUCGGAAUUACUGGGCGUAAAGGGAGCGUAGGCGGCGUGGUAAGUCAGAUGUGGAAUUCCGGGGCUCAACCCCGGAACUGCAUCCGAUACUGCCAUGCUAGAGGAUUGGAGAGGUAGCUGGAAUUCUUGGUGUAGCAGUGAAAUGCGUGGAUAUCAAGAGGAACACUCGUGGCGAAAGCGAGCUACUGGACAAUUCCUGACGCUGAGGCUCGAAGGCUAGGGUAGCGAAAGGG